rnacentral:rRNA from 1 species
GCGAUUAAGGUGCUUGCACCUUAUGAAAGUGGCGCACGGGUGCGUAACGCGUAUGCAACCUACCUUUAUCAGGGGGAUAGCCCGGAGAAAUCCGGAUUAACACCGCAUAAAAUCACAGGAUAGCAUUAUCUAAUGAUCAAAUAUUUAUAGGAUAAAGAUGGGCAUGCGUGUCAUUAGCUAGUUGGCGGGGUAACGGCCCACCAAGGCGACGAUGACUAGGGGAUCUGAGAGGAUGGCCCCCCACACUGGUACUGAGACACGGACCAGACUCCUACGGGAGGCAGCAGUAAGGAAUAUUGGUCAAUGGAGGGAACUCUGAACCAGCCAUGCCGCGUGCAGGAAGACUGCCCUAUGGGUUGUAAACUGCUUUUAUCCGGGAAUAAACCUACUUACGUGUAAGUAGCUGAAUGUACCGGAAGAAUAAGGAUCGGCUAACUCCGUGCCAGCAGCCGCGGUAAUACGGAGGAUCCAAGCGUUAUCCGGAUUUAUUGGGUUUAAAGGGUGCGUAGGCGGCCUGUUAAGUCAGGGGUGAAAGACGGUAGCUCAACUAUCGCAGUGCCCUUGAUACUGAUGGGCUUGAAUGGACUAGAGGUAGGCGGAAUGAGACAAGUAGCGGUGAAAUGCAUAGAUAUGUCUCAGAACACCGAUUGCGAAGGCAGCUUACUAUGGUCUUAUUGACGCUGAGGCACGAAAUGCGUGGGGAUCAAACAGGAUUAGAUACCCUGGUAGUCCACGCCCUAAACGAUGAACACUCGCUGUUGGCGAUACACAGUCAGCGGCUAAGCGAAAG